CAUGUAUUUUUAUUAGGGAGUACAUCGACGGUUUCUUCGCGUACCAGCUAGCCCACUUUCUAAUCGAGAGAAUCAAUUGCGCCGGCGGUUCUGGCAACGACUGCACUGGCGAUUCUGGCGGGCGGCCAGCGACUGCAGCGGGGGGUUGCUGCUUGCCGCUGCAGCUAGGAUCGUGGCGGGCGGCGGGUGGCGAGCGGCUGCAGCCGGGGAUUGCGGCGUGCGGCGAGCGGCUGCAGCCGGGGACUGCGGCGAGCGGUAGGAGACAACGCGUGCGUACGGCCUCCGCUCCUCCAUGGCCAUCGGAGGAAUGACCUCAAAGCCCGCUGCUGUCUGGGGCGGAUCCAGCGCGCCUCGCCACCAGUACUGCACCUGGAGGAACGACCUGCUCCUCAAGGACGGCAUCUACGAUCUGGGAGAGAUCGGAGACCAGCAGCUCAGAUCUUUGAAUUGACCUGCUCUUUGGAAUUGGGCGCGGCAUCGGCGAUGGGGUGAGCGGCCGGCGGCCGGCGGCGAGCGGAUAAGCUGCGGGUGUGCUAAACACUCUGGCUGUCCUCUGCUCUGUCGUGGUCGGCCGGCGGAAUCGGUGGCGCCGUGGUCAGCCGGCUGAAUCGGCGAAGUGGUGCUCCAGCGAGAUCUAUUUGCUGUUAUGCUCGGAGCUGCCAUUUCCGUCGUCCUCUGAUCCGGUUGUCUCCUGGUUUGAUUCGCUCUCAAAUAACCUCAUAUGUUCUGUUGAUUUGGGUCUAUUGCCGUGCGUGUUUACCUCGUCCAUAAAAAUUGGUGCAGCACCUGGAUUUUCACCUGUUUUGGAUAGAUGCGUUAGAGGUGGUUCAGUUAUGGCAUGAAAUUUGAUGGGCGGUUGACUCGCUGAGGGAAAACUAGUUAUCCAUCGCAUUCAUAGAUUUAUUAUUGCAGGUUCUGGGCUUACCUUGCUCAGCAUGUAUGUCAAGGCGUCUCUCCUAGCACGAAAAUUAUUAGUUCAUGUAGAGUGAGCAGAAGAGAAGACACACCUAAUAAUCUAUGUUCAACACCAGGGCGUAGGAACUCUCCUCUGUCCAUAGAUCCAGGCUGUGUAGACACCAUAGCUCACCAAUCUCGACAUUUUGUAGCUCACAUGAGUACGACCACGAGAGAUCUAAAACCAUCGGCGCUGAGAACAACACAUUGAAAUGGCCAUACAUGUCAGCUCGCAACGUGAUCUGCUUAAGCAUGGGGCCACGAUAUCAAGGUCACCAAGACACCGGUAGACACUCAAGAUAAGCUACUCAAUCGUCGGUGAGUGGACUUUGACUGCACGCGCAAGUGAGGGCACCACCUAAUCAGCUUAACCAAGUUGCUGAAGCUGCAGCGAGAGACAUACAGCUUCUCCAGCAUAGGGAACUCAACGCCCCCCUGCCGGUAGUAUUAUAUAGAGUUGGCUGCGCUUAGCUUGGUAGCCCGAUGUUAGUUUUAGUCAUCUACUUUUCCAGCGACUCCUGUGUUUUUGCUCAAAAAUUUCAUUGCCGGAGCUCAUUGAUUCUUCAGGCCUUCGUGGGAGGUGGUUCACAUAUAUCAGUGGUGACGUAUUUUCUUAUCAACUACAUGUUUGGUUGCUCCUACUUCAUCAAAUCUAUGUUUUUGGCUGCUGAGGCAAUGGAUCCAUCAAUCUUCUUUUAUUGAUACCAACUAAUUUAUGACUAGCUAUGCAGUCUUUAAUAAUGUAAAAUGUUAAAGAAAAGAUUGGCUCACUUUUCUGCAUGUCACCAAUGCGUAAUUUCUGAUCCAUCAUGGAACUUGUGAUAGAUUGAUCAGUUUUUCCCAUAUCGUAGCUUGGCUUAUGUGUAGAGCCUGUAAAUUUACAUCAGUGUAUCUACAAUCAGGUUACUGUUGUAGCCAUAGCCAUUGUCUAGGAGAUUUUUUGAGCAUAUGCUCUUUUGUCGCCGCCGAUGGUUGACCGUAGAUUUACGUCAAGCGACAUGCUUUCUCAAUUUCCACUAAUUAGUUCCAGAUUGAUAUUUCAAGUUUCAGUUCAUCUUUUGCUUAUUGGUUUUGUAAACGAUUUGACUCUGUGGUGACAUGUAUUGAAUUGCUAGGCUAACAGCGGGAAGCAUGGAGGCAACGCCAUCGGUUCACCGUACAACAUGUCCUAGUCAGAGGACCAGCAGGCUAAUGAGCUCUUUAGAAAGAAGCUAGAGAUGUUUUGCAGUGGUCCAUACCGGAGCUCUCGUUCCCAUUGAUGGCUCCUCCGCUCGCAGAGGUGUCAGUGCCCUUAUUACGGUGACUCCGACAGCAGAGCUUUCGUUCUGGACAGCAGCUCCCCGGACAAUUCUCCCCGGUACUGCUUCCGAACAGACCAACUGGUUAUCACAAAGCGUGAAAAGAAAUCCUCUCGUGAAAGCAACUCUGAGACGAAGGCGGGCUCUAUCAGAAUUCAGAAAGCCAACUCUGAGGCGUCAGAAGUCAGAACUCAGAAGAGGGGAUGACCGGGGGGCCGAAGCCGUUGGCGGCGAGGAACGCGUCGUAGGGCGAGGCCUCGCAGUGGGGCAUGUAGAAGAACCAGCCGGUUCGUCAUCCCUGGUCGUCCCCAUGCGCUGCCUCUGCAUCGCGUCGGUGGAAAGUCGGUAACACGCCGCGCUGUGCGUCAUGGCGUACAAGGCGGAGUACAAGAACGAGGCCUUCAUCGGCGACGUGGUCACCCGCACCCGCCCGCUGUCAGAUGGAGCUACUGGAACGAGUUCGAGAACUGGUACACUGGCAUUCGUGUUCCGCGACAGGGCAGGGCCGGACGCGGAGCUGGUGGUGGUGGCGUUCCACGGGACGGCGGCGUUCAACACGGCGCGUUGUGCCGACCUGGACCCGUCGUUGUGCCGACCUGGCCUCGGCUCUGGCGCGCGCAACGCAACAUUGGGUACGGUGGAUCAUGUGUCAGGGGCAAGCCUUACAAGGUGAAGGUGUGUAAGCGCCUACUGCGGGAUCCGCGUCGCUGUCAGGGGAUCCUGGAGGUGAACGAACGGGAAGGCGAGAUUGGAUGGGAAUAUGUCAAAUAGACAAAUAUGCAUUAACUGUCGAAGUAAAUGUUUAAGUUGGGAACUACUACUAGUGGAAAUCUUGGCAUGAUAUAUAUGAGACUAAACUUUUUUUUUGUGUUUGUUUGACAUAUUCAUUCAGCUUUGUCUAGUGAAAGUUUGCC